rnacentral:lncRNA from 10 species
GGGGGACGAGUUCUGCAGUCAUCCCUUCUGACCCCCUGGGUUCAUUCAGGGCUGGGCUUGGUGAGCAUUUGGCUCACCUCUUCCCUCUGGCCAUCGCGUUCCCCCGGGAUACGGACUCCAGUCAGUAGGCGAAGCUUGAUCCUAGAGUAGACUCUACGCUGCCCAACAGCUGCUGUUACCGCAUGGUGCCGGACAGUUCCAGGCUCUUGGUGUCCUGAAGAAAGAUUUGGACCAGACACACAGAGAUGGCAAAGCUGCAAGUUUAUUAAGCACAGUAUUCCACUCUCGGAGUGGGGAGAGCGGACUGACCUCUGCGAGAUAAGAUCAGCCCCAGCUUGCUGCAGCUGUGCCUCGGUAGAACACCCCUUUUCGUUCCUGUCUUGAUGAUUGUUGGAGCACUCUGUAAGUUUCCCUAAUAAAUGCUUUGGACUGAUUGCUCUGGUAAUUGGUGUUUUCUUGAAAUCCCCACUGGCCCCAUCUUGGGAUGAUUUAGGGCAUUCCUUUGUGGGAAUUCCCCUGCCUCUGCUUUUGGGGAGACUCUAGCCGGGAUGAAACAGAUUGGAAGGUCAAAAGUGAGCUGAGGGGGCUGAGGUGCCUAAGGAAGUUUAGAAGCAGCACAUCUUUGCAUUCUCUUAGAAAUCCUGGGUCACAGCCAGGCACGGUGGCUCACACCUAUAAUCCCAACACUUUGGGAGGCCAAGGUGGGUGGAUCACUUGAGGUCAGGAGUUCGAGACCAGCC